CACCCGCAGCCACGCACUCGAGGCCGAGCUCCCGAGCGUGCCGCCGCCUCGACCUCGCGACCCGCCGGCGACCGGAUCCUCGCCGGAGAUGAGUGCCGCCGUGCCCUGCUCCCUCCUCUCUUCCUCUGUCUCCUCUCACCUCGCUCAUCCCCCAAUCUCUCUGUCCCCAGGACGAACAGGAGCAUGCCAUGGCCUCGGAUCCGCGCCGCCGUCGCCGGAGAACGUCGCCCGCCACCGGUUCUUCGACCACAACUACCGGAUCAAGUUGCCCCGCCUCCGAUCUACCCGUUCCCGGCCACCCCAACCUCGCCUCGUCAUUGGGCGCGCAGAGAGACGGCCAUGGCCGCCCGAUUGCCGAGCGCCGCCGGCCAAGGUGGCUGCCCGAUGCACGAGCGCCGCCGGCCAAGGACCCGCCGGCGUCCAGACCCCCUCCACGCCAUCCCCAUCUCGCCGGAGACCUGCUCCAAGUCUGGCCGCCCUCCAAACAGUACGCGGAGACAGAGGCCAAGGAUGACCGGCAACUCUUGGAGGAGGACACCUCAAAUCAGUCUGGGAAGUUGUCGUCGUUUUCCUCGGGCAGCAAUGCAAAAUAUUGUAAUGAUACUUAUCAACGUUUUUAUUUGGUUGUGCAGUACUCGCUAGGUGCUUGACGAAAUUCUCAUAUGAUGCAUGUGGCAAGGUUCCUAGAGGAUAAUGUAGAUUAAUGAUUCCAUGGAGAGCUGCCAGAAUCUUCAAUUGGAGGCAAUUAAAGACGGACCUCACCGGAUUGGAUUUGUCUAGCAUUCCAGCUAAGUUUCAAGGUAGCUUUAAGACUCCAUGCAAACAAUCACUGAUUAGUAGGUAGUAGGCAUGCAGUUUCAGUUAAACCGAAGCUUAAUCCUCAUACAUUGUUCACUGGAGGUAUCCGUGCCAUUACACUCAUCCCUCUGUGUGAGUGACACAACUAUGUACUGCUAUAAAAACACUGGAGUGCCCAACAAUAUCUUAUAAUGGCUUUGGUACGUGGCAGUAUGAGGCCUGGGAUAAUGUUUACUUGUGAUUCACAAAAUGGAAGUAUGUGCUAUAUCUUUGUAUGAAAUUAAGGAAACAUGUCACGUUCAUUGUCGCCUGGUUUAUGGUAACUGGUGUUGCCCCCUCCCUUGGAAUCUCUCAGAUCUAUGGCAUAGCCAGUUCUCCAUCCCGCAGUUUUCGCAUGUUGCAACGCACUGGCUCUUUUGUAGGACCAUCGUCGACAUAGACAAGUUCUGCUUCAAGGAAGAGACAUAGAAGAAGGCUCGACAAGAGGAAGGAAGCAGCAUCCAUGUAAAGGAAUUUCUGCAAUGUAAUUCUGUGAAUUGCAGGUGUGGUUUAGCAACAUACCUCAUACAUGGUUGGUUGCUGACAAAGGAGGGCAGAAUUGGAUUACAAAGGCUAAAGGUAAAUUUACAUUUCCUGGAGGAGGAAGCCAGUUUAUACAUAGAGCAAGUCAAUACCUGGAUCAAAUAUUUAAGAUGGUACCAUCUGGCUCUCGCACUAGAGUUUUUCUGGAUGUUGGCUUUGGAGUAACAAGUUUUGGGCCAUACUUAAUUUCACGUGAAUUUGAGCAUGGUGUUCCUGCAAUGGUGGCAACUAAUUUAACACCGGCUAUUAUCCAAUGUUCCCGCUGUAGAAUAAAUUCGACAUGUGAUGGUGAGCUGAGAGAUGGAGGACCUAGCUCUCAAACGGACCAUGUUGGGAGAUUGUGAGGAAAAUAUGUUUCUAUGUGGAGGAAGCCUUUUAUAAUUAACUCAUGGUACAUGAGUCGUGAUCCUAGGGUCAAACAUCCACUUUGUGAUACUGAUGAUAAUUCCAGAUAAUGUCUGGUAUUUUCAACCCCACCUGGCAUGCUUUUAAUUGUUAAGCCUCAAUUCAAGGACUAAAUUCAGAAUAUGUAUUAAGAAAGUAGUCCAUACUUUUUUUAGAUUUGUUUUGAACAUUUGCAUAAUUAUGCAAUCAUCUCUUGCAAAGUGUAGUCUCAUGAUUUCGACUUAUUUUUUUGUUGAUGAGUGAAUGUGUGAUACGUAAUUGGCUUCUGCUUUGCCAGGCUGCGAAAUCCAUAGCUCAGAUGCAAGAAACUUUAUUAUCAAGCCGUUUUCUACACACGACUAAUUUUGUUACUACUUUCCAUUAUUGCGUGCCGAUCAUGCUAUGUUUAUGAGGCUCUAGCUAACAAGGCUUGCUCCCAGCUGCAACCUUGAACUGUAGAGGUUUCAGCUUCCUGAUGGCUGAUUUUUUGUGUCUUUCUUUUGUUUAUGUUCACAAGUGUACCUGCGAGUUUUAUGGAAUGGAGAUGAAAUCUUUUGCACGGCUGGGAAUAGGUAAUUAGGUAUUUGAAGCUCUACAUCUAAACU